UACGGGGGGGGCAAGCGUUGUUCGGAAUUACUGGGCGUAAAGGGCGCGUAGGCGGCCAUCUAAGUCAGACGUGAAAUCCCUCGGCUCAACCGAGGAACUGCGUCUGAUACUGGAAGGCUUGAAUCCGGGAGAGGGAUGUGGAAUUCCAGGUGUAGCGGUGAAAUGCGUAGAUAUCUGGAGGAACACCGGUGGCGAAGGCGGCAUCCUGGACCGAUACUGACGCUGAGGAGCGAAAGCCAGGGGAGCAAACGGG
rnacentral:rRNA from 1 species